rnacentral:tRNA from 1 species
GCUGACGUAGCCCAACUGGUAGAGGCGCGGCGCUCAGACCGCGUCGGUGCGGGUUCGAUUCCCGCCGUCAGUACCA